UUUUCAGGUCUAGGGUUGGUUUUUUAAGGCAUUGCGUAGGAUCCGGUGUUAUUGCUAAACAUUGGUUAAGUUUGUCUUCUACAAGAUAGUCAGAUGAUUUGUGAUUUUCUAACUCUGUUUCUUUUAUGCAUUCAUCAAUGAUAUCCAUGAAGUAACAUGUGUAUUCUAUUGCAGGUGCUUUCAAAAAUUGGGAAAGAAUGAACUCAAUUUUCU
rnacentral:lncRNA from 1 species